rnacentral:rRNA from 1 species
GGAGUUUGGACCGUGUCUCAGUUCCAAUGUGGGGGACCUUCCUCUCAGAACCCCUACUGAUCGAUGGCUCGGUGGGCCGUUACCCCGCCGACUACCUAAUCAGACGCAUCCCCACUCCCACUAGCGGUAAACCUUUGUCUUCACGUUAGAUGCCUGCUGUGGAGAACAUAGGGUAGUUAAUCCGAUUUUCUACCGG